rnacentral:rRNA from 1 species
CCUACGGGGGGCUGCAGUGGGGAAUAUUGGACAAUGGGGGCAACCCUGAUCCAGCCAUGCCGCGUGUGUGAAGAAGGCCCUCGGGUUGUAAAGCACUUUCAGUGAGGAAGAACGCCUGGUGGUUAAUACCCAUCAGGAAAGACAUCACUCACAGAAGAAGCACCGGCUAACUCCGUGCCAGCAGCCGCGGUAAUACGGAGGGUGCGAGCGUUAAUCGGAAUUACUGGGCGUAAAGCGCGCGUAGGUGGCUUGAUAAGCCGGUUGUGAAAGCCCCGGGCUCAACCUGGGAACGGCAUCCGGAACUGUCAAGCUAGAGUGCAGGAGAGGAAGGUAGAAUUCCCGGUGUAGCGGUGAAAUGCGUAGAGAUCGGGAGGAAUACCAGUGGCGAAGGCGGCCUUCUGGACUGACACUGACACUGAGGUGCGAAGGCGUGGGUAGCAAACAGGAUUAGAUACCCUUGUAGUC